rnacentral:rRNA from 1 species
UACGUAGGGAGCAAGCGUUGUUCGGAUUUACUGGGCGUAAAGGGCGCGUAGGCGGCGCGGUAAGUCACUUGUGAAAUCUCUGAGCUUAACUCAGAACGGCCAAGUGAUACUGCAGUGCUUGAGUGUGGAAGGGGCAAUCGGAAUUCUCGGUGUAGCGGUGAAAUGCGUAGAUAUCAAGAGGAACACCUGAGGUGAAGACGGGUUGCUGGGCCAACACUGACGCUGAUGCGCGAAAGCCAGGGGAGCAAACGGG